UUUAUAGCAAUAUAGAGGCUGGCGACCGGCAAACGGGUGCGGAACACGUACACAACCUUCCUUUAAGAGGGGGAUAGCCCAUAGAAAUGUGGAUUAAUACCCCGUAAUAUUAUUGAAGUGGCAUCACUUUAUAAUUAUAGUUACGACGCUUGAAGAUGGGUGUGCGGCUGAUUAGGUAGUUGGCGGGGUAAAGGCCCACCAAGCCUUCGAUCAGUAGCUGAUGUGAGAGCAUGAUCAGCCACACGGGCACUGAGACACGGGCCCGACUCCUACGGGAGGCAGCAGUAAGGAAUAUUGGUCAAUGGACGCAAGUCUGAACCAGCCAUGCCGCGUGAAGGAUGAAGGUCCUCUGGAUUGUAAACUUCUUUUAUAGGGGGCGAAAAAAGGGAAUUCUUUCUCACUUGACAGUACCCUAUGAAUAAGCACCGGCUAACUCCGUGCCAGCAGCCGCGGUAAUACGGAGGGUGCAAGCGUUAUCCGGAUUCACUGGGUUUAAAGGGUGCGUAGGCGGGUUUAUAAGUCAGUGGUGAAAUCCUGGAGCUUAACUCCAGAACUGCCAUUGAUACUAUGGAUCUUGAAUAUGGUGGAGGUAAGCGGAAUAUGUCAUGUAGCGGUGAAAUGCAUAGAUAUGACAUAGAACACCUAUUGCGAAGGCAGCUUACUACGCCUAUAUUGACGCUGAGGCACGAAAGCGUGGGGAUCAAACAGGAUUAGAUACCCUGGUAGUCCACGCCCUAAACGAUGAUUACUCGACGUAUGCGAUACACAGUAUGCGUCUGAGCGAAAGCAUU
rnacentral:rRNA from 1 species